UACGAAGGGGGCUAGCGUUGCUCGGAAUCACUGGGCGUAAAGCGCACGUAGGCGGAUCUUUUAAGUCAGGGGUGAAAUCCCGAGGCUCAACCUCGGAACUGCCUUUGAUACUGUCGAUCUGGAGUAUGGAAGAGGUGAGUGGAAUUCCGAGUGUAGAGGUGAAAUUCGUAGAUAUUCGGAGGAACACCAGUGGCGAAGGCGGCUCACUGGUCCAUUACUGACGCUGAGGUGCGAAAGCGUGGGGAGCAAACAGG
rnacentral:rRNA from 1 species